AGGGCUUCGGCCCCGGUAAAGUGGCGCACGGGUGCGUAACACGUAGGCAAUCUUCCCUCGGGCGGGGGAUAACGUUUCGAAAGAGACGCUAAUACCGCAUAAGACCACGGUCACCUCGGUGAUUGCGGUCAAAGCUGGCCUCUUCAUGAAAGCUAGCACCUGAGGACGAGCCUGCGGCCCAUCAGCUAGUUGGUAGGGUAAUGGCCUACCAAGGCGAAGACGGGUAGCUGGUCUGAGAGGAUGAUCAGCCACACUGGAACUGAAACACGGUCCAGACUCCUACGGGAGGCAGCAGUGGGGAAUAUUGGACAAUGGGCGCAAGCCUGAUCCAGCGACGCCGCGUGAGUGAUGAAGGCCUUCGGG
rnacentral:rRNA from 1 species